GUAUCCAUAGUGUGGGCAUUGUAGUAAAAGUAAUUUGAAGCGUCUCAUGCUUCAUGAAAGGAUUCAUAUCAUUUUGAUAAAAGUUAGAAAUUUCAGUCCUUAAUUC
rnacentral:snoRNA from 1 species